rnacentral:rRNA from 1 species
GUGUCAGCCGCCGCGGUAAUACGGAGGGUGCAAGCGUUGUUCGGAAUUACUGGGCGUAAAGCGCGCGUAGGCGGUUUGUCAAGUCAGAUGUGAAAGCCCUCGGCUCAACCGGGGACGUGCAUUUGAAACUGGCAGACUUGAGUACUGGAGGGGGUGGUGGAAUUCCCGGUGUAGAGGUGAAAUUCGUAGAUAUCGGGAGGAAUACCGGUGGCGAAGGCGACUGCCUGGCCAGAUACUGACGCUGAGGUGCGAAAGCGUGGGGAGCAAACAGGAUUAGAUACCCGUGUAGUCC